GUCUGAGAAUAUAUUGUGGAAAGAUUCAUCUGAAGCGGAGAGACCUAGAACAAUAACAAACUGGAUGUACAACAGUAAACAUUAUCUGCACCCCGAGGGCUGUUCCUUAAAGGAUGUGGGCCUGGAAUGUGCUCAACCCCACUCCAUCGGACUUCUGCCACGAGAAGAGGAGCUGGCGCAAGCCCAGGAGACUCGUGUGAGCAGAUAACUUGGCUGGAAGCUAAGGGAACCCAGCAGUAAUCACUGAUAUUUAUUAGGGAAUGGACCACAUCCCAGCCUGAAGAUUUCCUCUAUUCUUUUCUCUAAAUCCCCCUGGUAAAGUCCACAAGCAUCAAGACCUUUUCACAAACACAACACUACACUGAGAGCACGAAGUGCACAGCUGGGAUUCUGGCACUCAGAAGAUGGAGACAAUCGGAUCAAGAAUCUCAGGGCAGCCUGAGACAAAUGCAAUGGAAAAAAAAAAAACCAACAACAAAACAAACGUAGAGAAAAAGGAUAGAAGAGAAGCCAGCCUAUAAUUUGCAACAAUCAAAAUGGUGACUGGAUCUAGCAUGCAUGAACUACUCUUUGUCACACUUCUAUCCGAAGUCUAUCCUCUGGAGAAUUUCCAUGAAUUUUAGGAAGAAUCUAUUCAUCCGUAAGUCCUGUGGUGCUCUGGGUGACUCAGUAUGUAGCAUCCACUUCGAGGUCAUCGUAGCUAGUUUUGUCUUGCUCACUCACAUUCUAACCAUCUAGGUUCCUUGCUGAUGCUCCAAGCAUUUCAGAGGCAGGGAAGUAGGGUGGAGAGUGAGGGUCGCUAGGCUUACACAAAGUCUAAGAACAGGAGCAGAAGUGCUCAGGAAUGUCUGAAGGUGACCCAUGAUUUAUUACAACACUAGAACAUCCAUUGUGUGUGGACAUUUAAGAGCUAUUAGCAAAGUAAAUGUUAUACGCCGCCCCCCCCCAAAGCUUACACAAUGUGACAUAAAAGCCCCAAUUGUUUGUACAGUGGGGCCAACUGAACUGUUAAAUUCUCUACUCUAGCCUACUCUGCCCACCCACGAUCUAGAAGUGAACUUUCUUUUUUCUUUCUUUUGCUUUGUAUAAGUCUAUGUGUAUGUGUACGUUCAUAUGUGAUGGUAUACAUCUGCACAUUGGACAUGGUUACAAAUGCACAUGUGUAGGGGGCAGAGAUCAGACUCAGGUACCAUUGCUUGGGAAUUGUCUACCUUGUUUUUUGAGACAUAGUCUGUCAUCUGGACUAGAACUCACCAACUAGGAUAAGCCAACACUUGUGAACUGCAUGUGCCCUGUGAUCUCUAGCACUGGGAUUACAAGCAUGUUCUACCAUGAUCUGCCUUUUCAUGUGACAUCUAAACACUGAAUGCAGGUCCUCAUUAUUGUACCACAAGUACUUUAAUGACUGAGAUGUCAUGCAGCCCAAAAGUGUACAUUCUUUUAACAAAUUGUUCCUGCUUUUGCUACCACUCGUGUGUCUCUGUUCAAUUCCUGUUCUGGGACACAAAAACUGCUCCAGGCCUCCAACUCUAUCCUGAUGUCCUUUAAUACGAUUUCUAUUUCAGGAUGUUUGCUCUUUCCUUCUUUUUUCUUUCUUUCUCUCCUUCCUUUUCUCCCACCCUCCCC